rnacentral:rRNA from 1 species
UGGAUGAACGCUAGCUACAGGCUUAACACAUGCAAGUCGAGGGGAAACGACAUCGAAAGCUUGCUUUUGAUGGGCGUCGACCGGCGCACGGGUGAGUAACGCGUAUCCAACCUGCCCACCACUUGGGGAUAACCUUGCGAAAGUAAGACUAAUACCCAAUGAUAUCUCUAGAAGGCAUCUGAAAGAGAUUAAAGAUUUAUCGGUGAUGGAUGGGGAUGCGUCUGAUUAGCUUGUUGGCGGGGUAACGGCCCACCAAGGCAACGAUCAGUAGGGGUUCUGAGAGGAAGGUCCCCCACAUUGGAACUGAGACACGGUCCAAACUCCUACGGGAGGCAGCAGUGAGGAAUAUUGGUCAAUGGACGAGAGUCUGAACCAGCCAAGUAGCGUGCAGGAUGACGGCCCUAUGGGUUGUAAACUGCUUUUAUAAGGGAAUAAAGUGAGAGUCGUGACUCUUUUUGCAUGUACCUUAUGAAUAAGGACCGGCUAAUUCCGUGCCAGCAGCCGCGGUAAUACGGAAGGUCCGGGCGUUAUCCGGAUUUAUUGGGUUUAAAGGGAGCGUAGGCCGGAGAUUAAGCGUGUUGUGAAAUGUAGACGCUCAACGUCUGCACUGCAGCGCGAACUGGUUUCCUUGAGUACGCACAAAGUGGGCGGAAUUCGUGGUGUAGCGGUGAAAUGCUUAGAUAUCACGAAGAACUCCGAUUGCGAAGGCAGCUCACUGGAGCGCAACUGACGCUGAAGCUCGAAAGUGCGGGUAUCGAACAGGAUUAGAUACCCUGGUAGUCCGCACGGUAAACGAUGGAUGCCCGCUGUUG